CCACCGUCCCCAAACCCAGAGAAUACGAGCUUGGAAUGCCAUUCUUGCUGAGUCGAAUCAAAGAUGGAUUUGAAGACCGAAAUCAACUUGAAGAUGGGAUUGAGGAUAGAGUCGCAACUACAUUCUUGCCCAAGGAGGAUUUCAGAGCCUGCAAUUGAGAUUUCUGCACACAAACUGGGUGAGGAUUUCAUCCUUCAUUUCACUCCUUUGUUUGAUUUGUGUACAACAAACUGAAAUUUUCUUCUCGGUCCUUCUCAUCGGCGACUCGGGGAAUUGAAUAUUGUUUUCUGGUGUUGUGAGGUCCAACAAGGCAAAGGUACACUUUGGGCUGUGAAAGCAAUACUCCUGCCUUUGACUUUUCAGGGGAAACUUUACAUCUCAUCGUGGUCAGGUAAUCAAAGCCUUUGGACUCCCAAUAUUGCUUUCGUUUUGGUGCGUCUGGUUUGGAAGCUCAAGUCGGACCAGGUGAUAGUAGUCACAGCAUUCUAAAGGUGGAUGCGAGAAGAGCAACUAUAGUGCAGCCAAGUAUCAGAACUCCGGGAUUCAAACUCAAGGGUGAGGCUUUCUUUUUGUUUACCCAUUGAUUUGUUUAGAAUAGGUACUUCGGAACGGAGGUUGGGACUGGCUCUUUUUGGCUAUGGAGUUUUGAAAAGAUGCAGGGAGGAAUUAUAUG